rnacentral:rRNA from 1 species
GACGAACGCUGGCGGCGUGCUUAACACAUGCAAGUCGAACGGAAAGGCCUGCUUUCCCUUGUGUAUUGCGGGUACUCGAGUGGCGAACGGGUGAGUAACACGUGAGUGAUCUGCCCCCAACUUGGGUAUAAGCCUGGGAAACUGGGUCUAAUUCCCGAUAGGACUGCAGGGUGGUGCCUGUGGUGGAAAACGAUUUUCUCGUGGUUGGGGAUGAGCUCGCGGCCUAUCAGCUUGUUGGUGGGGUAAUGGCCUACCAAGGCGGUGACGGGUAGCCGGCCUGCGAUGGUCGACGUCUUCACUGCGCCAGCUGUGCGGCCCAGACUGCUACGAGAGGCGCGAGUUGGGAUAAUUGCGCUAUGCGCAGCCGCCUGGUGCAGCUACGCCGCGUGGGGGAUGCCGGCGUUCAGGUUGUAAGCUCCUUCCGACCGCGAGGAAGACACCUGGUUGGAAGCGUGGUGAAGGUAGUGGUAGUAGAAGCUCCGGCCGACUACGUG